UUCCUGCAGUAAAAUGCAAGACGUGUGAAGGAGAAACUCCUCUUCUCCUUCCUUCUGAUGAGAGUGCUGCCCUGUGAGAACGUGAUAUGGGGUAGAUGGCAGACAUCUUGGAAGAAGGAAAGAAAGGCCAACGGAAGCACAGGGAUUGCAAACCACUGCCCUGAUACCAAAAAGCCUCUGAAUCAACCCUGGAACUGGGAGGAUGAACCAGUAAUUCAGACUACAGGAAAAAAGCAGUAAGACAGUUCAGAAAAGCUUAAAAAUCUUGAAGUCUGUUCCAUGAAGGAAAGGGUCACAACGAAUGUCGGCACAGGUACUUGGAGGAAAGUGGGUAGAGAGGGCCAUACUGAGAUACUGCAUAAAACAAAUAUGCAUAAAAGAAACAGAAAACCUUGUCUCACUUUCUCGGUUUCAUGCACCUGGAUUCUGUUGUUUAUUUUACCCAAGUACUUCACAAACCUGAUGCCAACAGCAACUGUGAAAUGGAAGCAACUCUACAAAUUAUUGCCAUCAUGAGACUAUCAUUAGGUCUACAUAGCUCAAGCUUCACUUGGAGUUCAAUUGUGUGAUUCAGAAGCACAGCUAGGAUAAGUCAGAGACUGGAAAGGGGAAGAGGAGAGACGUGCAGGAUAUUUUUUUUUAACCAGUGAAACAACUCCCGACUUCCAGGACCAGACAAUAUACUUAAUGCACAAAACCAAUAUAUUUUAUGGCCUAAAUGAAAAAAAGUAAAGUGGAAGGUCGGGCGCUGUUCCUUUAAGAUGCUUCCAGAAUCAAAUACCACUCUUGAAAGGGCUGCCAAACAAUGUAUCCAGGUAAAGAAUGAAAAAAAUAUAUUCAGAGGAAAGGCAGGAGGAUGUGUGGAAAGCUCAGUGAGAUUAUGGAAGUGCAGUAAUUGAAUAUGACACAAGAGUCAAGUGCAAGAGGGAACUGGCUGGAGUGCAGUGGCGCAAUCUCAGCUCACUGAAACCUCCACCUCCCAGGUUCAAGUGAUUCUCCUGCCUCAGCCUCCCGAGUACCUGGGAUUCCAG
rnacentral:lncRNA from 1 species